rnacentral:misc_RNA from 1 species
UUAAAGAUAAUAAUUCUAAUCUUAAAUGACACAAUUUAAAUAUUAUGGCUGGUUAUUUUUAAUAAAAAAAUCCAAAUAAAUAAGUCAUUAAAUAAUUAUAAAAUGAUUUUAAAUUUCAAAGAAACUUAAUAAUUUACUUUCUAGACGUAUUGUGUUUUUUUUUAAUUUGAGAGAUCAUUUAAAUGAAGUUUUACAGAAUACAUAUAGGUCUUUUUCAACCCCUCACGUGAGUUGCUGGACUUUCAACUGGGCGCGUCCCGCGAAAAGGAAUGGGGGAGUGGUAGGGAUCUUAGGACCCCUGCGGACCUAAACCAGCAGGUGAGGGCGCACAUUUAGCGGCUAACCGCGCAGCCUAGGAGUAAGCCUCAAAACAAAUCACAGCUGUGUAGUAGCAAAAAACAUGGGAAAUGUACGAUAAAACUUUAUUACCCCAGGAGGGUUACAGACGCCUUAGAUUGGGGAAAAUCUCGCAGUGCUACAACACUCAGCCCCACCGAAUCUGGGGGAGAGACCAAGCCUCUGUUUCCGGGGAGUUGCUCGAGAAGGCCGAUGUUGAGUUGGUGCCCGCGAAGAACAGCGAAGACCCUGAGCCCGAAAAAGGCGAGGAGUAGAAGUGAGGUCGGGUCGAUGGAUUCCGAUUCAGGAUGAAUGCAAGUGUCUCACGUACGAAGAGGUAGAGAAAGUCCAUCCACGACCAGCAAGUAAAUCAGGAUUGCGGCGAGGAGUGGUUGACAUACGGCGAGACUUGAAUGCGUCAUCAACUCCAGCCCCUUCUUCCUUCACACAUGACCUAGACAUGGGAACUAGACAUGGGGACGGUUGGGAGUACGCCACCCUCAGGGACUGUGAAGUCAGCCUCAACGGCCAGCCGACCGGUGAACUCAAAGAAUAUAUCGAAGUUCUAACGACUGGAGCAGUGUUCCCGCAAGCAAAAGCAAGCAAGCAAGACCAGCAACCGACACGGCAGAGCACACGCGCGAGGCCUGUCCAGUGUGGAGCGAGGAGGACGUUAUCUUGACUAUAGUCAACGGGCCGGAUGUCUCACUGCCGGCCUUGGUAAGGCUAUUGUCGGCAGAGAGGAGAAUUGGAACGCUGUUUCCAUCUUCUCCAGCGACAUUAUGCAACGGAAGGAAACGCCAGAAUGGGAGCUAGAACAGGACUUGAACUCGCUCCCGAUUCGUCGCGGAAGGCGCGGUCGGCGACUUGGCUACCUGGCCAAUCUGCGGCCGUAACGCUGGACCAGCGGAUGAUGGAUUGGAUCUAUCGUCCGCAUUUCACGAUCCCGAGGUUGGAGGCGACCUUAAUGAUCGAGGAAGCUUCUCCAGAGUUGCUUAUAGCGACAGGCCCUAGUUAGGGGCGAACGCCGGCAGAAUCGCGGAAGUGCAUAUCGUCCCCGUGAUCCCACCCUAGGCGAGAAGAAGGAGCACCCAAAUGUUUUAGUCUGUGCGAGAUCGACAAACCCCCAGCUUCCCCAGGCUAGAGACAUCAAUAAUGGAUUUCCCUUGGGUCUACAAAAUAAAAGGUAUAUUUCAACCCCGCCGAUCUGAAGUAUGAAGUGUGUUGCCACCCAAUUCUGUAUUACGUAUAAAUAAUUAUAAUAUUGUACAGAUAUAAUAAUUUUAAUUUUAUCGGUUAAGUGGCCUUUAUCAGAAAUUUUUUAAUUUAUUUUCAAACGCUUUGUUACUGAAACAUAAUGGACAAAACUUGGGAACAAAACGGACAGUAAA